rnacentral:lncRNA from 1 species
AAGACAUGUGUGGCUUGAUACUGUUUCCAAAGUCCAUCUAGAAAAGAGUGGUAGGCAAUAGUUAUGCUGUAAUAUCAUAUGCAAUUGUAUUUGCAAUCUUGUUCUAAUGGAAUUGUUUCUGGACUAGGUCCCGGAGAUGUAGGUUGUUACCGAACCCCGUUAACAAAUCUCUGCGUGUCUUUACUUUAUGCUUCUUACACUCAUUACACGCUAAUAUCGUACAAACACAUAGACCUAGCACACACAUAGUAACUAUACCUCCAUCCGCCAAUCCUUUUCCGCCACGUCCUCCGAUGGUGAAGGUGAAACUCCACCACCUUCACCCACCACUCCUCUACCAGCUUCACCCAACACUCCUCCACCAGCUUCACCCACCACUCCUCAGCCACAGCCUGAGCCUCUUGUUCCUUCCCCUGAAGUUCCACCAGAGCCCCCAACCAAUGAAGACAACGAACGUACUUCUGUGAUCUUCACUUUCCGUGGUGAAUUCCUCGGUCGAUG